UGCAAGUCGAGCGGUUGAAGGGAGCUUGCUCCCUGAUUCAGCGGCGGACGGGUGAGUAAUGCCUAGGAAUCUGCCUAUUAGUGGGGGACAACGUUUCGAAAGGAACGCUAAUACCGCAUACGUCCUACGGGAGAAAGCAGGGGACCUUCGGGCCUUGCGCUAAUAGAUGAGCCUAGGUCGGAUUAGCUAGUUGGUGGGGUAAAGGCUCACCAAGGCGACGAUCCGUAACUGGUCUGAGAGGAUGAUCAGUCACACUGGAACUGAGACACGGUCCAGACUCCUACGGGAGGCAGCAGUGGGGAAUAUUGGACAAUGGGCGAAAGCCUGAUCCAGCCAUGCCGCGUGUGUGAAGAAGGUCUUCGGAUUGUAAAGCACUUUAAGUUGGGAGGAAGGGUUGUAGAUUAAUACUCUGCAAUUUUGACGUUACCGACAGAAUAAGCACCGGCUAACUCUGUGCCAGCAGCCGCGGUAAUACAGAGGGUGCAAGCGUUAAUCGGAAUUACUGGGCGUAAAGCGCGCGUAGGUGGUUUGUUAAGUUGGAUGUGAAAGCCCCGGGCUCAAUCUGGGAACUGC
rnacentral:rRNA from 1 species